UACGAAGGGGGCUAGCGUUGUUCGGAAUUACUGGGCGUAAAGCGCGCGCAGGCGGUCUUCCAAGUCAGUGGUGAAAGCCUGGAGCUCAACUCCAGACUGCCGUUGAAACUGUUGGACUUGAGUACGAGAGAGGUGAGUGGAAUUCCCAGUGUAGAGGUGAAAUUCGUAGAUAUUGGGAAGAACACCAGUGGCGAAGGCGGACUCACUGGCUCGUAACUGACGCUCAGGCGGCGGACAGCGUGGGGAGCAAACGAGGA
rnacentral:rRNA from 1 species